rnacentral:rRNA from 1 species
UUCAAAUGAAUUGACGGGGGCCCGCACAAGCGGUGGAGCAUGUGGUUUAAUUCGAUGCAACGCGAAGAACCUUACCUACUCUUGACAUCCAGAGAACUUGGCAGAGAUGCCUUGGUGCCUUCGGGAACUCUGAGACAGGUGCUGCAUGGCUGUCGUCAGCUCGUGUUGUGAAAUGUUGGGUUAAGUCCCGCAACGAGCGCAACCCUUAUCCUUUGUUGCCAGCGGUUAGGCCGGGAACUCAAAGGAGACUGCCAGUGAUAAACUGGAGGAAGGUGGGGAUGACGUCAAGUCAUCAUGGCCCUUACGAGUAGGGCUACACACGUGCUACAAUGGCGCAUACAAAGAGAAGCGACCUCGCGAGAGCAAGCGGACCUCAUAAAGUGCGUCGUAGUCCGGAUUGGAGUCUGCAACUCGACUCCAUGAAGUCGGAAUCGCUAGUAAUCGUGGAUCAGAAUGCCACGGUGAAUACGUUC